rnacentral:rRNA from 1 species
CCUGAGAAACCCGAAAGAUCGAAUGAGGAGAUUCAUCGUCAACGAAGUUGGCUUCCUUGUGGUUCGCGAUGUUUUGAGAUUUUAUCGAUUUUCACGCGUCCACUGAGGUAUGUCCAGCUACGUCGGCGUGCACUUCUACUCUAGUAGAACGUCGCGACCCGCUGGGUGUCGGUUUAAGGACCGAGUUGUCGACUGUCACCAUCGUCUCGGCGUACGGUGACAGACGCUUGGAAUCCCGACCGGCUGCCCGGCGGUACACGCAAGGUAUCGAGCCGCAUUUGAAUGCGUUCAGACUUGUUACAAGCCCGACCAUUUUACCCGNGUUGCACGGACACAGAGCCGGCAUCUUGAGUUGGUCAGCUGUUGGUUUAACGAUGUUCUCGAACUGGCUUAACUUGAAUUAAAGAUACCGGUCGGCGACGCUAUUGCUUUGGGUACUUUCAGGACCCGUCUUGAAACACGGACCAAGGAGUCUAACAUGUGCGCGAGUCAUUAGGAUAGUUAAACCUAAAGGCGCAUUGAAAGAGAAGAUCGUCCUCGUGUCGAUCAAGGGAGGAUGAGUAACGUUUAGAUGUUACUCCGCACUCCCGGGGUGUCUCGUUGUCAUUGCGACUUGAGGCGCACCCAGAGCGUACACGUUGGGACCCGAAAGAUGGUGAACUAUGCCUGGUCAGGAUGAAGUCAGGGGAAACUCUGAUGGAGGUCCGUAGCGAUUCUGACGUGCAAAUCGAUCGUCGGAACUG